rnacentral:lncRNA from 1 species
CGGUGCGCCGUGACGUCGCUGUGCAGAGCCCGCCCCCGAGCGCCCGAGGCGCGGCCACUGGGGUCGAAGUAUUGAAGAGUGGGCCAGGUUCUCUGUUUUCCUCCAGGUCCAGGCGGCUGGGCAGGGCCAACGUAGGAAAUGAAGAACUGUGCACGGCGCACCCCAGGAAUUCAGCUUCCUCUCAAAAGCCAUGGUUGCGAGGUCGCGUGUUUAACCUCGCACUGGCUGCUGAGGGAAUUAACAGGCCUGCGCAGCAGCUUCGUUAGCUUCGAAAGAAAAUGGGCCCCGGCUCCCGCAGGAGGCCCGCCUGGCGCGCAGAUGUCGUUAUUAGAAUCCGGGACGUCGGUGGACCCUCUGGGUCUGGCUCCCUCGGGGCUUACGAUGAAAAAAACUGGGGGGCGCGUGUGUGUGUAUGUUGUGUUUUAUAUUAUGAGAAUUCUGAAACAUUUAGCAGAAGCAGUAUAUUACUCCCCAUAGUGCAGUUAGCUACCUUUUACCUGUUUCAUUGGCUCCACCAUACAUUUCUAGUGUUUUAAGGGAAACCGUUUCAUUCAUAAAUACCCUAAGUGUAUAUAUUUAAUAUCUAAGAGACAACUUUUAAAGGCAUAACGAUGUAAUCUCAUCUAAUGAAAUUAACAAUUCCUUAAUCUAAUUCCCAGUCCAUAUUUAGGUUUUUCAGAUGAUCUCAUGUCCUUUUACAAUUGGUUUGUGGCAUCCGGGUCCAAACCAAGGUCCACAUGUUGCAUCUGGACCACGUGUUUAAGCCUCUUACUUGAUAGCUUUAAAAUUAGCUAACACCAGAGGUUUAGAUGGUGUAAGGCAAGUCUGGCCACCAGGUGACUUGAUUUACAUUCGUUUUAGUUUCGCUCAGAAAGUAUGCUGUGCAUCUACCAAGUGCUAUGAUGUACAGAGGCCUGGUCCGGGGAGAGGAGUGUUACAAAAGUGCCUGCCUUCAACCCAUUUACGGUUUAUGGAGACAGAAAAGUAAGGUUUUCUGAUCCCUUGGAACCUGAACUGAUAGCAAAGACUUCAGCAUAAGCAUCUCACUCAGGAUAAUGUUUCUUCCUUGGCGUUCCCUUUGACCUAGUUGUGGAGGGCCUGAAUUCCAUGACAAGGACUCUGAAAUUUAGCUUGAAAACCCUAAGAGUAAUCAGUGAUAAGUCAUUAAUAGUCCUUAAACCCUUUUCCUCAAAUCCCAUCUGAAAUCCUGCUCCCUCUGUGAAGUCUUCCUUUACUGGGCACUGGUGAACACUGCUAUCUCAUUCGAGUUCCCACCACCCUUCGUUUGUACCUUUUGUGGUAGGAUCUCGAACUCUUUUGUUUUUUUUUUUUUUUUUUUUUUUUUACUUGAAACAGCGUCUCGUUAUGUCGCUCAGGCUGGAGUGCAGUGGCGCCAUCUCAGCUCGCUGCAACCUCCACCUCCCGGCUUCAAGUGAUUCUCCCACCUCAGCCUCUCGAGUAGCUGGGAUUACAGGCGCCCACCACCAUGCCCGGCUAAUUUUUGUAUUUUUAGUAGAGGUGGAGCUUCACCAUGUUGACCAGGCUGGUCUCGAACUCCUGAUCUCAAAUCAUCCACCCACCUUGGCCUCCCAAAGUGCUGGGAUUGCAGGCCUGAGCCACUGCCUCUGCCAACCGCCAUUGCCGUGUAAAUGCUGACGUCAUCCUCAUGCACGGCUGUAAAAUCCAAUUCUCUACUUUUCACAUUUUGAGAUGUUCGUAAGAGACGGUGUAAAGUUAUGGCGAGGUUAGACUGUGUAGGUUGGUAGUCUGACUCUGCCAUUUAGGAACAAUGUGACCUUCAGCAAGUUACUUAACUUUUCUGAGGUUUCCUCAGGUGUAAGAUGGGGCUUGUUAUUUUUUAUAUCAUUGGUUUAAAAGAGUUAUACAUUUCUAUUACUUAGGGCUGGGCGCAGUGGCCUGUAAUCCCAGAACUUUGGGAGGCUGAGGCGGGAUCACUCCUGCCUCAAGUCCUGAUCACUUGAGGUCAGGAGUUCGAGACCAGCCUGGUCAACAUGGCAAGACCCCGUCUCUAUUAAAAACACAAAAAUUAGCUGGGGGUGGUUGCGCACGCCUGUAGUCCCAGCUACUCGGGAGGCUGAGGUGGGAGAAUCCCUUGAGCCCAGGAGGUGGGGGUUGCAGUGAGCCAAGAUCACACCACUGCACUCCAGCCUGGGUGACAGAGUGAGACCCUGUCUCAAAAUAAUAAUAAAUAAUUAAAAUUUAAAAAAUUACUAAGAAGCUAAAAGAAAUUAAGUAUAAACUAUUGUUCUUGGCCCAUAUGCUUACGUUGUCUUUGCUCAUUUAAAUUUCUGGCUUUUCUACUGGGAUUCCCUGACUUCUUCCAUUACCUAUGGGGAAUGCCCCUCCGUCCCUUUUCAUGACCUCAUCUUCCCAAAUCUCCUUGCUUGUCAGUUAUCAUUUUCUCUCGUCUCAUUUCUCUGUUAGUUCCUGCUCCACGUAAGAAUAUGAACUGAAAAUCUGUCUUUGUUGCAACCUUCAUAUUAAUUUAU